CUGAAAAACCCCUGUUGUUAUUCAACUACAAGAAUAACCCCCCCCCA
rnacentral:tRNA from 1 species